rnacentral:rRNA from 1 species
UAUUAUUAAAUACGUAGACAAAUUGCUAGAGUAGUAAUUGUUAUGAUCUUGAAACUCAAAGAAUUUGGCGGUAUUCUAUUCCCUUCAGAGGAAUCUGUUCCGUUAUCGAUAACACACGAAUGUUUAUACUUAAUUUAUUGGUUUGUAUACCGCCGUCGUAAGUUUAUUUUUAAGAGAAAUGAAAUUUACUUGAUUUUUAAUUAAUUAAUAUGUCAGGUCAAGGUGCAGCUUAUAAUUGAGUGGAAAUGGAUUACAAUAAUAAUAAUUAUAAAUGGAUAUUUUAUUUAAAGUGGAAUUGAAGGUGGAUUUGAUUGUAAAUUAUUUAAAAUUGAU